UGCGAUUUGCUAACAAUUCGUUGUAUGUGCGCUUUUUUGUGCACAUGUGAGAAAAUCGGUGAUUUUGUUGGUGGUAUGCGUCGAGUGGCUUGUCAUAAGGUAUCAUUGCCGUACUAGUUGAUAGUAGAUCAUCGGUGUGCUGUGCUCGUCAUGCAUGUUGCUAAUGAAUCUUGUCAAUACGUGCGCAAUCGCAGAUAUCGCAGCGAUAAGUCUGGAUGAAAACUCGAUGUGAACGUCGAUCACCUAUCCGACCCGUCUUGAAACACGGACCAAGGAGUCUAGCACAUACGCGAGUCAAUGGGUAUAUCGUAAACCUAUAGGCGUAAUGAAAGUGAAAUAUUGUGUGCGAUUAAAUGCGCGCGCACAAUUGAUGUGCGAUUUGUUGUUUUUCUUAACCGACGUACAACGAAGCAGCAUAGCCCCGUUCAUGUUGUUUGUGCGACUUGUGCGUCACACAACCGAACGGAGGAAGAGCGUAUGCGCUGGUACCCGAAAGAUGGUGAACUAUGCCUGAGCAGGAUGAAGCCAGAGGAAACUCUGGUGGAAGUCCGAAGCGGUUCUGACGUGCAAAUC
rnacentral:rRNA from 1 species